GACGAACGCUGGCGGCGUGCUUAACACAUGCAAGUCGAACGGAAAGGCCCUGCUUUUGUGGGGUGCUCGAGUGGCGAACGGGUGAGUAACACGUGAGUAACCUGCCCUUGACUUUGGGAUAACUUCAGGAAACUGGGGCUAAUACCGGAUAGGAGCUCCUGCUGCAUGGUGGGGGUUGGAAAGUUUCGGCGGUUGGGGAUGGACUCGCGGCUUAUCAGCUUGUUGGUGGGGUAGUGGGUUACCAAGGCUUUGACGGGUAGCCAGCCUGGGAGGGUGACCGGCUUCAAUGUGACUGGGUUACGGCUCAAACUACUACGGGGGGGAGCAGUGGGGACUAUUGCACAAUGGGCGGUAGCCUGAUGCAGCAACGCCGCGUGCGGGAUGACGGCCUUCUGGUUGGAAACCGCUUUCGCCUGUGACGAAGCGUGAGUGACGGUAAUUGGUAAAGAAGCACCGGCUAACUACGU
rnacentral:rRNA from 1 species